UUGACAGAAAGCAAUGUGUUCUUAGUUCUCUCGUGAUUGAUUGACAGAAAGCAAUGUGUUCGUAGUUCACUCCUGAUUGAUUGACAGAAAGCAAUGUGUUCGUAGUUCUCUCGUGAUUGAUUGACAGAAAGCAAUGUGUUCGUAGUUCUCCCCUGAUUGAUUGACAGAAAGCAAUGUGUUCGUAGUUCUCUCGUGAUUGAUUGAC
rnacentral:lncRNA from 1 species